rnacentral:rRNA from 1 species
UACGAAGGGGGCUAGCGUUGUUCGGAAUUACUGGGCGUAAAGCGCGCGCAGGCGGUCUUCCAAGUCAGUGGUGAAAGCCUGGAGCUCAACUCCAGAACUGCCAUUGAAACUGUUAGACUUGAGUACGAGAGAGGUGAGUGGAAUUCCCAGUGUAGAGGUGAAAUGCGCAGAUAUCAGGAGGAACACCGGUGGCGAAGGCGGGUCUCUGGGCAGUAACUGACGCUGAGGAGCGAAAGCGUGGGGAGCGAACAGG